GAAAAGAAGAUUGCAUUAUCCUUAACUUCACAUUUUGCUAUAAAGAUGAUUUCCUUUUAUUGAAUAAUUCAAAGAAUGGUGACUUUGUUGAACGCAUGUAUCCCAUUGAACUUGAAAUAAAGGAUUCAACAGAUACAGGUGAAUCCUUGCUGGGUCAUUGAAAAACCUACUGGAAGUUCUUCUGAUACUGGAAAUUGAAAACAAAUGGUCAUUUUGGAAGAAAAUUGAUAGAGGAAAGAUACAGAUAUACAAGAAUUUCAUAUUUGAAAUGCACUUAAUAUUUCUUUUGUAUAUGAUCACCAAAUUUUGGCAGUCAAAUAAGGCCAAUUAAAAUUAAUUGAUAGAUUUUCAUUCCCGCCCGCCCUCUGAAAAUGU